CUGGAGUUCAAGCGUGUGCAGCUCAGAAAAAAAUGUUUUCCAUAGAGUCAACAUGACUUUUUUGAUCCCUUGUUCUGAAUGUCCUCAGUAUCCAUCCUGCCAGUUGUCUGCACUUUGCUGUCAACUUGACAAUGUGCAUGUGAAAUGAUGCAUCACUACACAAGCUGAUGCCCAGCUCUCUCACUGUUUGUGAUUCUGGGAUUGCAGUACCUCUAGGUCCUGUGUAUGCCAGUUGGGGGGCACUUGUGGCCUUGUAGCACAGUACUUGAACUUUUUUAGCAUUGAACCGCAUAUUAUUUUGCUCUGC